AACGACGCUGGCGGCGUGCCUAACACAUGCAAGUCGAGCGAGAAGUCCCUCGGGGCGAGUAAAGCGGCGGACGGGUGAGUAAUACAUGGAUAAUCUUCCCUCGAGCCUGGGAUAACCCUGCGAAAGUGGGGCUAAUACCGGAUAAGACCACAUGACACAUGUCACGGGGUAGAAGGUGGCUUGUAUUUAUAUGAGCUAUCACUUGAGGAUGAGUCCAUGGCCUAUCAGCUAGUUGGUGAGGUAAGAGCUUACCAAGGCUACCUGACGGGUAGCUGGUCUGAGAGGACGACUAGCCACACUGGGACUGAGACACGGCCCAGACUCCUACGGGAGGCAGCAGUGGGGAAUAUUGGGCAAUGGGCGAAAGCCUGACCCAGCGACGCCGCGUGGGUGAUGAAGGCCUUCGGGUUGUAAAACCCUUUCGUGCGGAAAGAAUAGUCCUGUAGCGAAUAACUACGGGAUUUGACGGUACCGCAGGAAGAAGCACCGGCUAACUCCGUG
rnacentral:rRNA from 1 species